rnacentral:rRNA from 1 species
AGUGAACGCUGGCGGCGUGCUUAACACAUGCAAGUCGAACGAGAACGGAUUAUAGCUUGCUAUAAUUGUCAGCUAAGUGGCGCACGGGUGAGUAAUGUAUAGGUAAUAUGCCUCUUACUAAGGGAUAACAAAUGGAAACGUUUGCUAAUACCUUAUACUCCUUAUUAACAGAAGUUAAUAAGGGAAAGAUUUAUUGGUAAGAGAUUAGCCUGUAUUGUAUCAGUUAGUUGGUGGGGUAAUGGCUUACCAAGACUAUGACACAUAACUGGUUUGAGAGUAUGAUCAGUAACACUGUAACUGAGACACGGUCCAGACUCCUACGGGAGGCAGCAGUGGGGAAUAUUGCACAAUGGACGAAAGUCUGAUGCAGCAACGCCGCGUGGAGGAUGACACAUUUCGGUGCGUAAACUCCUUUUAUAUGAGAAGAUAAUGACGGUAUUAUAUGAAUAAGCACCGGCUAACUCCGUGCCAGCCGCCGCCGUAA